GAUGAACGCUGGCGGCGUGCCUAAUACAUGCAAGUCGAGCGAACGGACGAGAAGCUUGCUUCUCUGAUGUUAGCGGCGGACGGGUGAGUAACACGUGGAUAACCUACCUAUAAGACUGGGAUCACUUCGGGAAACCGGAGCUAAUACCGGAUAAUAUUUUGAACCGCAUGGUUCAAAAGUGAAAGACGGUCUUGCUGUCACUUAUAGAUGGAUCCGCGCUGCAUUAGCUAGUUGGUAAGGUAACGGCUUACCAAGGCAACGAUGCAUAGCCGACCUGAGAGGGUGAUCGGCCACACUGGAACUGAGACGCGGUCCAGACUCCUACGGGAGGCAGCAGAAGGGAAUCUGCCGCAAUGGGCGAAAGCCUGACGGAGCAACGCGGCGUGAGUGAUGAAGGUCUUCGGAUCGUAAAACUCUGUUAUUAGGGAAGAACAUAUGUGUAAGUAACUGUGCACAUCUUGACGGUACCUAAUCAGAAAGCCACGGCUAACUACGUG
rnacentral:rRNA from 1 species